CGGAGGAGGUGACACCUGAACAGAGUCUUGGGAGAUCCAGGACGAGGAGCUGAAGAAGUUCUGUUCCCGGAUCUGUAAACUGCUGCAGGCGGAGGACUUGGGGCCGGACACCCUCGACUCCCUGCAGAGGCUCUUCCUCAUCAUCUCAGCCACGAAGUACAGCCGGAGGCUGGAGAAGACAUGCGUAGACCUGCUGCAGGCCACCCUCGGCCUGCCUGCAUGCCCCGAACAGCUCCAGGUGCUUUGUGCCGCCAUCCUGCGAGAGAUGUCCCCCUCUGAC
rnacentral:lncRNA from 1 species